AUUGAACGCUGGCGGCAGGCCUAACACAUGCAAGUCGAACGGCAGCACGGACUUCGGUCUGGUGGCGAGUGGCGAACGGGUGAGUAAUACAUCGGAACGUGCCCAGUCGUGGGGGAUAACGUAGCGAAAGCUACGCUAAUACCGCAUACGAUCUACGGAUGAAAGCGGGGGAUCGCAAGACCUCGCGCGAUUGGAGCGGCCGAUGGCAGAUUAGGUAGUUGGUGGGGUAAAGGCUCACCAAGCCGACGAUCUGUAGCUGGUCUGAGAGGACGACGAGCCACACUGGGACUGAGACACGGCCCAGACUCCUACGGGAGGCAGCAGUGGGGAAUUUUGGACAAUGGGCGCAAGCCUGAUCCAGCCAUUCCGCGUGCAGGAUGAAGGCCCUCGGGUUGUAAACUGCUUUUGUACGGAACGAAAAGGCUCUGGUUAAUACCCGGGGCUCAUGACGGUACCGUAAGAAUAAGCACCGGCUAACUACGUGCCAGCAGCCGCCGUAAUAC
rnacentral:rRNA from 1 species